rnacentral:rRNA from 1 species
AUUGAACGCUGGCGGCAGGCCUAACACAUGCAAGUCGAGCGGAUGAGUGGAGCUUGCUCCAUGAUUCAGCGGCGGACGGGUGAGUAAUGCCUAGGAAUCUGCCUGGUAGUGGGGGACAACGUUUCGAAAGGAACGCUAAUACCGCAUACGUCCUACGGGAGAAAGUGGGGGAUCUUUGGACCUCACGCUAUCAGAUGAGCCUAGGUCGGAUUAGCUAGUUGGUGAGGUAAAGGCUCACCAAGGCGACGAUCCGUAACUGGUCUGAGAGGAUGAUCAGUCACACUGGAACUGAGACACGGUCCAGACUCCUACGGGAGGCAGCAGUGGGGAAUAUUGGACAAUGGGCGAAAGCCUGAUCCAGCCAUGCCGCGUGUGUGAAGAAGGUCUUCGGAUUGUAAAGCACUUUAAGUUGGGAGGAAGGGCAGUAAGUUAAUACCUUGCUGUUUUGACGUUACCAACAGAAUAAGCACCGGCUAACUUCGUG